rnacentral:lncRNA from 1 species
AGUUACGCUAUUAACUAAAUAAAUCCCAAUAAAAUUUCAUCAAAUACCCCUAAAUAAAUUCCGUGUGCGACGCCGUCGAUCGACUUAAGAACGAUAUCUCUCUGCUCACGCGCGAAAACCUGGGCGGUCGAUUUUGUCGAUCCGGCCAUGGGGACUUCAGUUUUGGUCAAGACUCAGGGCGAACACGCUGUGUUUUUUUUCUUAAGUGGCGGAUUUGGACGAGAUUUGGAAUAAAAAUGGAGCAGAUAUAUCACUAAAAUCAAGGAACAUUAAGACCAUUUUUUUUUUGGAAUAGCGAUAAUAUCAAAACUCAAUUUAUCUUUGGUUUUUUUUACAUAAAAGAAGUUUAAGGCCAGCGUGUUUCGUCUGUCCAAAUUCCGCCACUUAGACACUUAGUGACUUAGUCACUUAGUUACGUCGUAACUUAGUCACUUUGCAUUCCUUUGCAUAAUUUAUGUCACUUGAAGUAUGUACCAGUAACUGUUAGCAACUUUGCCAUGGUUUACCCAUAGAGCUCGCUGUUUCGUUGGAGAAAACCAGUACCUGACUUCACAACAUUUAGGAUUUUUCAGUAGGACUUGCCCACCACAGCAUCCAACCAGUUUAUCCUGCCAAAAGGACUCUCCUAUGGACUUCAUCUUGAAUUCUUAAAUAGGAACUGUGGUGAAAGAUAAGUUGUUUACUUUUAUUAUUUAUAUAUUUUGGGUACUCUAUAGUUGCUUGCACUGUAAACUGUUUGUAUGCAUACAAUCGAGUGGAACUAGGUACAUAUUUUCGUGACAGAUAGGGUUUUCAGGUCUUUGUUUUGUUCCAUAUUAUAAAUAGUAGUUUUUUCUAAUUAAGUAAGUCUUGUUUAAUAAUAAUCAUAAAUAAUUGUAGCUUAAAAUUUGAUAGGGAAUCGGGGGUAAAAUUUUGUCGAGCUUUUAAAAUAGGGAAUAUGUCUAGU